GACGAACGCUGGCGGCGUGCUUAAUACAUGCAAGUCGAACGGAAAGGCCCUGCUUUUGUUGGUUGCUCGUUUGGCGAACGGGUGAGUAACACGUGAGUAACCUGCCCUUGUCUUUGGGAUAACUUCAGGAAACUGGGGCUAAUACCGGAUAUGAGCUCCUGCUGCAUGGUGUGGGUUGGAAAGUUUCGGCUGUUGGGGAUGUACUCGCUGCUUAUCCGCUUCUUUGUCGGGUAGUGGCUUACCAAGGUUUUGACGGAUAGCCGGCCUGAGAGGGUGAACGGCCACAAUGGGACUGAGAGAGGGACCAGAAGCGAACGGGAGGCAGCAGUGGGGAAUAUUGCGGAGUAGGGGGAAGCCAGAUACAGAAACGCCGCGUGCGGGAUAACGGCCUUCGGGGUGUAAACAGAUUUGGAAUGUGACGAAGAGUGAGUGACGGUAAUGGGUAAGGAAGCAACGGCUAACUACGUG
rnacentral:rRNA from 1 species